UCCCUGCCCAGCGACUCCUGACACCACAAAACAGAUGAUCUGCAGCCGGCAGUAGGCGCUUGGAAGGAGGGGAAGGGUCUGAAACCAGCACGUUAGGCAUAGAAAGCCUUUAGAGGAACUACUGGAAGGAGGAAAAUGCUACCAGGAAGGAUACAGUGAAAACAAACUCUGAACUCACCUGGAACAUGGAUUCUCUCUGAGCUGCUUUAAAACUGAAGUGAGUGAAAUGAGACUGAACCUUUUUGAAACCAGGGAUUAUGGGAAUGUAGCUUUUCACUAUGAAAGUUAAGUCACCAUCCAG